GACGAACGCUGGCGGCGUGCUUAACACAUGCAAGUCGAACGGAAAGGCCCUGCUCUUGUGGGGUGCUCGAGUGGCGAACGGGUGAGUAACACGUGAGUAACCUGCCCUUGACUUUGGGAUAACUUCAGGAAACUGGGGCUAAUACCGGAUAGGAGCUCCUGCUGCAUGGUGGGGGUUGGAAAGUUUCGGCGGUUGGGGAUGGACUCGCGGCUUAUCCGCUUGUUGGUGGGGUAGUGGCUUACCAAGGCUUUGACGGGUAGCCGGCCUGAGAGGGUGACCGGCCACAUGGGGACUGCGAUACGGCCCAGUCUCCUACGGGCGGCAGCAGUGGGGAAUAUUGCACAAUGGGCGGAAGCCUGAUGCAGCAACGCCGCGUGCGGGAUGACGGCCUUCGGGUUGUAAACCGCUUUCGCCUGUGACGAAGCGUGAGUGACGGUAAUGGGUAAAGAAGCACCGGCUAACUACGUG
rnacentral:rRNA from 1 species